GGCUCAGGAUGAACGCUAGCGGCAGGCCUAAUACAUGCAAGCCGAACGGUAACUCUGAUAGCAAUAUUAGAGCUAGAGUGGCGUAAGGGUGCGUAACACGUAUGCAAUCUGCCCGCAACAGGAGGAUAGCUCCCCGAAAGGGGAAUUAAUACUCCAUAACACCAUUUGAGGGCAUCUGAAGAUGGUUAAACUACAAGGGGUUGCGGAUGAGCAUGCGGUUGAUUAGCUAGUUGGUAGUGUAACGGACUACCAAGGCAAUGAUCAAUAGGGGAACUGAGAGGUUUAUCCCCCACACUGGCACUGAGAUACGGGCCAGACUCCUACGGGAGGCAGCAGUAGGGAAUAUUGGACAAUGGGCGAGAGCCUGAUCCAGCCAUGCCGCGUGCAGGAAGAAGGCCUUCUGGGUUGUAAACUGCUUUUGCCAGGGGAUAAAAAGUCCCUGCGGGGAAAAUUGAAGGUACCUGGUGAAUAAGCCACGGCUAACUACGUGCCAGCAGCCGCGGUAAUACGUAGGUGGCAAGCGUUGUCCGGAUUUAUUGGGUUUAAAGGGUGCGUAGGCGGUUUAAUAAGUCAGUGGUGAAAUACGGCAGCUCAACUGUCGAGGUGCCAUUGAUACUGUUAGACUUGAGUACAGACGAGGUAGGCGGAAUUGACGGUGUAGCGGUGAAAUGCUUAGAUAUCGUCAAGAACACCGAUAGCGAAGGCAGCUUACUAGGCUGUAACUGACGCUGAGGCACGAAAGUGUGGGGAUCAAACAGGAUUAGAUACCCUGGUAGUCCACACUGUAAACGAUGAUUACUCGAUGUUGGCGAUACACAGCCAGCGUCUUAGCGAAAGCGAUAAGUAAUCCACCUGGGGAGUACGCCGGCAACGGUGAAACU
rnacentral:rRNA from 1 species